UGAGGAAUAUUGGUCAAUGGGCGAGAGCCUGAACCAGCCAAGUAGCGUGAAGGAUGACUGCCCUAUGGGUUGUAAACUUCUUUUAUACGGGAAUAAAGUGAGGCACGUGUGCCUUUUUGUAUGUACCGUAUGAAUAAGGAUCGGCUAACUCCGUGCCAGCAGCCGCGGUAAUACGGAGGAUCCGAGCGUUAUCCGGAUUUAUUGGGUUUAAAGGGAGCGUAGGCGGACGCUUAAGUCAGUUGUGAAAGUUUGCGGCUCAACCGUAAAAUUGCAGUUGAUACUGGGUGUCUUGAGUACAGUAGAGGCAGGCGGAAUUCGUGGUGUAGCGGUGAAAUGCUUAGAUAUCACGAAGAACUCCGAUUGCGAAGGCAGCUUGCUGGACUGUAACUGACGCUGAUGCUCGAAAGUGUGGGUAUCAAACAGGAUUAGAUACCCUGGUAGUCCACACAGUAAACGAUGAAUACUCGCUGUUUGCGAUAUACAGUAAGCGGCCAAGCGAAAGCGUUAAGUAUUCCACCUGGGGAGUACGCCGGCAACGGUGAAACUCAAAGGAAUUGACGGGGGCCCGCACAAGCGGAGGAACAUGUGGUUUAAUUCGAUGAUACGCGAGGAACCUUACCCGGGCUUGAAUUGCAACUGAAUGAUGUGGAGACAUGUCAGCCGCAAGGCAGUUGUGAAGGUGCUGCAUGGUUGUCGUCAGCUCGUGCCGUGAGGUGUCGGCUUAAGUGCCAUAACGAGCGCAACCCUUAUCGAUAGUUACCAUCAGGUUAUGCUGGGGACUCUGUCGAGACUGCCGUCGUAAGAUGUGAGGAAGGUGGGGAUGACGUCAAAUCAGCACGGCCCUUACGUCCGGGGCUACACACGUGUUACAAUGGGGGGUACAGAAGGCAGCUACACGGCGACGUGAUGCUAAUCCCUAAAGCCUCUCUCAGUUCGGAUUGGAGUCUGCAACCCGACUCCAUGAAGCUGGAUUCGCUAGUAAUCGCGCAUCAGCCACGGCGCGGUGAAUAUGUUCCC
rnacentral:rRNA from 1 species